UUCGAAGCAACGCGAAGAACCUUACCUAAGCUUGACAUCCCAAUGACAUCUCCUUAAUCGGAGAGUUCCUUUCGGGGACAUUGGUGACAGGUGGUGCAUGGUUGUCGUCAGCUCGUGUCGUGAGAUGUUGGGUUAAGUCCCGCAACGAGCGCAACCCUUGUCUUUAGUUGCCAUCAUUAAGUUGGGCACUCUAGAGAGACUGCCAGGGAUAACCUGGAGGAAGGUGGGGAUGACGUCAAAUCAUCAUGCCCCUUAUGCUUAGGGCUACACACGUGCUACAAUGGGUAGUACAGAGGGUUGCCAAGCCGUAAGGUGGAGCUAAUCCCUUAAAGCUACUCUCAGUUCGGAUUGUAGGCUGAAACUCGCCUACAUGAAGCUGGAGGUACUAGUAAUCGCAGAUCAGAAUGCUGCGGUGAUUGCGUUCCCGGGUCUUGUACACACCGCCCGUCACACAACGGGAGUUGGAGACGCUCGAAGUGGAUUAUCUAACUUUUUGGAAGAGGUAGUCGAAGGUGGAAUCAAUAACUGGGGUGAAGUCGUAACAAGGUAGCCGUAUCGGAAGGUGCGGCUGGAUCACCUCCUUUCUAAGGA
rnacentral:rRNA from 1 species